GGUCCCGCCUGCCCAGUGAACAUCUUUCAACGGCCGCGGUAUUCUAACCGUGCAAAGGUAGCGUAAUCACUUGUCUUCUAAAUAAAGACUAGUAUGAACGGCUAAAUGAGGGCAAACCUGUCUCUUAUAACCAAUCAGUGAAACUGAUCUCCCAGUACAAAAGCUGGAAUUUUAACAUAAGACGAGAAGACCCCGUGGAGCUUAAAAUAACAACUA
rnacentral:rRNA from 1 species